rnacentral:rRNA from 1 species
GGACCGAACCGACUAAUGUUGAAAAAUUAGCGGAUGACCUGUGGCUGGGGGUGAAAGGCCAAUCAAACCGGGAGAUAGCUGGUUCUCCCCGAAAGCUAUUUAGGUAGCGCCUCGUGAAUUCAUCUCCGGGGGUAGAGCACUGUUUCGGCUAGGGGGCCAUCCCGGCUUACCAACCCGAUGCAAACUGCGAAUACCGGAGAAUGUUAUCACGGGAGACACACGGCGGGUGCUAACGUCCGUCGUGAAGAGGGAAACAACCCAGACCGCCAGCUAAGGUCCCAAAGUCAUGGUUAAGUGGGAAACGAUGUGGGAAGGCCCAGACAGCCAGGAUGUUGGCUUAGAAGCAGCCAUCAUUUAAAGAAAGCGUAAUAGCUCACUGGUCGAGUCGGCCUGCGCGGAAGAUGUAACGGGGCUAAACCAUGCACCGAAGCUGCGGCAGCGAACGUAUCACCCAAGACAACUUUACGGAGUUGACGAUUGACGGAGCGAAGCGACGUCAAAGCGUUCAUUAAAGUCGAGUUGGCUUAGGGAUACGUUCGUUGGGUAGGGGAGCGUUCUGUAAGCCUGUGAAGGUGUGUCGUGAGGCAUGCUGGAGGUAUCAGAAGUGCGAAUGCUGACAUAAGUAACGAUAAAGCGGGUGAAAAGCCCGCUCGCCGGAAGACCAAGGGUUCCUGUCCAACGUUAAUCGGGGCAGGGUGAGUCGACCCCUAAGGCGAGGCCGAAAGGCGUAGUCGAUGGGAAACGGGUUAAUAUUCCCGUACUUGGUGUUACUGCGAAGGGGGGACGGAGAAGGCUAUGUUGGCCGGGCGACGGUUGUCCCGGUUUAAGCGUGUAGGUGUGUGUUCCAGGUAAAUCCGGUUCACUUUAACACUGAGGCGUGACGACGAGGCACUACGGUGCUGAAGCAACAAAUGCCCUGCUUCCAGGAAAAGCCUCUAAGCAUCAGGUAACAUCAAAUCGUACCCCAAACCGACACAGGUGGUCAGGUAGAGAAUACCAAGGCGCUUGAGAGAACUCGGGUGAAGGAACUAGGCAAAAUGGUGCCGUAACUUCGGGAGAAGGCACGCUGACACGUAGGUGAAGUGAUUUACUCAUGGAGCUGAAGUCAGUCGAAGAUACCAGCUGGCUGCAACUGUUUAUUAAAAACACAGCACUGUGCAAACACGAAAGUGGACGUAUACGGUGUGACGCCUGCCCGGUGCCGGAA